rnacentral:rRNA from 1 species
AUGCCGUCUUCUUCCUCCGCAUCGCCGCCGUCCUCCGUCGUUUUCGCGGCCACCAGCGGCCCCGUGCCCGCUGACCCUGUCGAUGAGCUCCGCCGGGAUCGACUCCUUCAACUGGUGGCCUCAACUGGAGCUGGCAGGCACCAAAGCACCGGAUCCCCUUCGUCCCCAUCUCCGACUGCCCCCGUUCUUCACCGACUCCGGCGGCGCCUUCUGCUGCUACUAAUCCUCCAAGGGCCACCGUGUGUGCCGCUCGACACCGAGACCGACGCCGCUGCUACCCAGUACGACUACGGUGUUGACGACCCCUCUCUUGCCAGAGCAACCAGACAUUGGAGUACAGGAGCCAGACGCCACCGUCGCCGACGACUACUACUACUCGGGAGGUGCCUAUUACUACGUGCAGCCCGCUGA